UACGGGGGGGGGCAAGCGUUGUUCGGAAUUACUGGGCGUAAAGGGCUCGUAGGCGGCCAACUAAGUCGGACGUGAAAUCCCUCGGCUCAACCGGGGAACUGCGUCCGAUACUGGAUGGCUUGAAUCCGGGAGAGGGAUGCGGAAUUCCAGGUGUAGCGGUGAAAUGCGUAGAUAUCUGGAGGAACACCGGUGGCGAAGGCGGCAUCCUGGACCGGCAUUGACGCUGAGGAGCGAAAGCCAGGGGAGCAAACGGG
rnacentral:rRNA from 1 species